AUACUCUAGUCGAAAAACCAUCAUGAGAUUCUUCAAAGGUAAUGAAGAAUUGCUACCAACUUCAAAAAGAGCUCUAAUAUAUCCUUCAUAAGAUUCUUCAAGAAAAAACAUUCAGCUAUCAAAACUUGAUUUAUCAAACCAAAUGCCUCCUUGUCUAAACUGAAAAUACUGAUAUAGGUAUCGUCAUUAUCUUUCAUCUUCCAAAGUGCAACUACUUAUAUUUUUCCUCGUUAACCAAAACCAAACCAGGACAAAGUAUUAUGCACAUUUAGGCUUCACCUUUAACUUAUCUUCGAAAUCUGAGAAGAACUUCCAUUUGAAUUCUCAGCCAUCCUCACCGCACUAAUCAAAUUUCUUCCUUAAAUGCUGUUAGAUAGAGGGUCAUGGGAAAACCUUUGCAUAAUCUUCUACCGUAAACAAUGGGAAAGGCCUCACUAUAAAAAAUUUAUGCAUUGCACUUCGGUAAAACACUACAGCCUUCUUGCAUUGAACAAAAAGGUGAUGUCAAGAUUUCAAUGCUUGAUGAAAAGAAGGCACUAAUGAGGCGUAUUGGGCAAUGGAAUUUCCUCUGAUCCAUCAUUUUCUUAAUUGUUAUGAUUUAUGAAAAAACUCACAAGCCCCUCAUCAUGUCUCACACAGACCAAGAACAAAGGAAGACAUUAAGCAAAUGAAAAUAUACAAAAACAAAACAGAGGAAAUCAAAA